AUCGGGAAAGUCAUGACGCAUUUGUGCAUAGAAAAAUUUGCCCUGACUUUCCUGACG
rnacentral:pre_miRNA from 1 species